rnacentral:rRNA from 1 species
GACAGAGGCCCCAAGCGUUAGGCGGAAUCACUGGGCUUAAAGCGUGUGUAGGCGGCUUUGCAAGUCGGGUGUGAAAGCCCUCAGCUCAACUGAGGAAGUGCGCCCGAAACUGCAGAGCUUGAGUACCGGAGAGGAUGGCGGAAUUCCCCAAGUAGAGGUGAAAUUCGUAGAUAUGGGGAGGAACACCGGUGGCGAAGGCGGCCAUCUGGACGGAUACUGACGCUGAGACGCGAAAGCGUGGGUAGCAAACAGG